rnacentral:rRNA from 1 species
GAUGAACGCUAGCUACAGGCUUAACACAUGCAAGUCGCGGGGCAGCAUGGGGGUUGCUUGCAAUCCCCGAUGGCGACCGGCGCACGGGUGAGUAACGCGUAUCCAACCUGCCCUUCACCACGGGAUAACCCGGCGAAAGUCGGACUAAUACCGUAUGUUGUCCAUUGACGGCAUCCGAUUUGGACGAAAGGUUUGGCGGUGAAGGAUGGGGAUGCGUCCGAUUAGCUGGACGGCGGGGUGACGGCCCACCGUGGCGACGAUCGGUAGGGGUUCUGAGAGGAAGGUCCCCCAGACUGGAACUGAGACACGGUCCAGACUCCUACGGGAGGCAGCAGUGAGGAAUAUUGGUCAAUGGGCGUAAGCCUGAACCAGCCAAGUAGCGUGCAGGAUGACGGCCCUAUGGGUUGUAAACUGCUUUUAUGCGGGGAUAAAGUGGCCCACGUGUGGGUUUUUGCAGGUACCGCAUGAAUAAGGACCGGCUAAUUCCGUG